rnacentral:miRNA from 1 species
UUGUCAGCUUUGAAGGUUAGAUUAGAAAAGGCUGCUCAGGGCUGGAGAGAUGGCUCAGCAGGUAAAGGCUAGGCUCACAACCAAAAAUGUA